GAAGUAAUUAAAAAAUAAAGGUAAGAACAGAAGGACUUUUGAUAAUUAGCGCCAUAGAUAAAAAUGCUUGCUUUUUGUUCAUUUCAAUGACUAGAUAAGGAAUUAUUAAGAGGCACAUAAUUUAGUCGAAUUAACCACAAUCCUAUUGAAUAACUAUAUUUUAUAAGCAUUUCAGAAUCUGAUUUAUUUUAGGUUGCCAGACACUUGAUAAAUGACAAGAAUUUUAAGUAAAUGUGGCUAAGCCUUUUACUUGGGAGAGUAGAAAAAUGAAAUCUCAUACAAAAUUGUAUCAGAUUUUAUAGUAAUCAUUUGAGCUGUAAUAUAAUUCUAAUUGGUUUACCGGUAAAGUUUUUAGGGUUCUUAUUUCUAGCAUUUUUGAUGAUCAAUUUCAAUUUGCUUCCAUGUAUUUCAUUUUCCCUUUCAUCAUCUGUCUUUUCAUAUUGUGAAACUUGGUAGUAAUAUAUUCAUUUGAAUUUUAUGAACCCCGUAAAUGUCUUUUUAUGAUGCCUUUUUCAUUUCUAGAGAAAAAAGCAUUCUCAGCUGCAGAAGGUUAUUCUUUUAAGCUUUUUAUAAAAGCUAGUAAAAUUGGUUUAACUGUCCUGACCCCUCUGGUUUUAGUCAGUUUCCCAUUUCACUGUUGCAAAUAAAAUACAUCUCAAGUUUUUAGUGGCUAUCAGAAGUUGAAGAGCCAGAAAUAAAUUUGGGGGGAAAAAACACCAUAAAAACAGAUCUUAUAAAGGAUCCCACAGUAUUAUACAAUUAUAUUAUCCCAGUUUGGAUAUAUAUGAGUGAGGAAAGAGUUUUAUAUUUGGCUACCCAGAACUUCAUAGCAUAACAACCUUAUCUUCUAAAUAUUUCCACAUAUUUUACUUAUGUAUACCAAUAGCUACGCUACCAUCACCUGAGAAUUUCGUAUGAGAUACCAACAAAAUAGACUCAAUCAAGGAGGAUUCUGCAAGAAGGGAUAUUGGUUUUAGUACAGAACAAAUGUUCAAUAAAUGUCAGCUCUUUCUAUUAUACCUCUUAUGCCAUUUUUUAUAACUUUUUUUUUCUAAACUGAGACUUAAUUUAUGCAUAGUGAUAUGCACAAGUGAACAUUCUGAAAAUAUAGUGUAAACAGCCUUGGUAAAUAGACAACCAUGUCACCUAAAAACAAUCAAGGUAUAGGAUAUUAUGAUGUUUCUACAAAAAUUCUUGCCCCUCUCCUGCUGAUUCUUACCGUUAAGUAGAUCCAAUGUUUUUUUCUUACUCAUAUUAGAUAAGAGAAAUUGUGAUUAUUCUCAAAAUUCAUACAAUUUGUGUAUUAUUUCUUCUAGCUUCUUGGUCAUCUAUGUCAUUGUGUGAAACAGUUUCUUUUUGUUUCUAAGUUAUAAUUCACUGUGCAAAUAUAUCACAUUUUGUUUACUCAAUCGUCUGUUGAAGAACGUUAGUUGUUUAAAAAAUUUUUGGAGCAAUGUAAAUUAAGUGAAUUGUACUUUCAACGAAAUGCAAGGGGCCCAUAUAGCUAGAUUUUAGAUUAUAAGUGAGGUAGUGGUGAGAGCUGAUGCUGGAAUUUAGUUGGGGAUUAACUGUAGAAAUGUUUUAUUAAAGGAGUUUGGAUUUAAUUGUGAAAAGAAUGGCAGAACCAUUCUUUUCACAAUACUGUUUCUAGUUAUCAUUGCAGAAAUAAUCCUCUAGUGACAAUGGGUAAAAAACAAGGCUUUCAAUAAACUCUGUCUUCAGAGGAGGAAGAAAUAGUGUUCAGGUUUACAAUAUGUGAAAGUAUUUACAUGAGCAUAAUAUAUGUGUUUGGAGAAGGCGUUUUCUGUGGUGCUGUGGUAUAAAAAAUAAGUAAGUCUUCACAUACCCAGAAUAUAAAGUUCAGAGAGCUCUUAACUGAAGUGGAGACUCAGAAAGAUUAUUAUUGAAUUUAUUGCAUGAUGUUUAGCCUUUGUUCUCACCUAUAAUGAUGUACUUUGUAAAUGAGAACAGGCACAGGAGAGUUAGAAAUGAGGAUCUCAAGGAGGAUAAUUCAGGGAUGGAAUGGAUGGUGUUUAGUGUCAUUAGAUGUAGUUGGUGAGGAAGAAGAAAGGAGAUUUUUUGUUUGUGUUUUUGAUGAGCUAAUGGUAUCAUAAAAAUAGUGUAUAUAAGAGAAAGAGAGAACGAUCAUUUCAAGUUUGUAGAUAUUGAAUUUAGGGCCCCUGUGGCAUUGCUAGAUGGACAUGCGCACUGGUUAUUUGAGUAUGUGCAUGUGGAAGACAGGGUGAUCAGCCUUUAUGUUAGAGAGUCAUGGGCUUUCAGAUGCUUUGUGAGAUCACUUUGGUACAGACAUCAAGUGAGGGGUGGUGAGGGUAAAAAGAAGAAUACUCUGAAAUGCCAGCAUUUAGAAGGGGAAGGAGAGGGUCUGACAAAAGAUACCGAGAAGGAAUGAUCAGUGAAAUAUUUCAUUGUAGCUAGAGGAAGACAUGCAUUUUUAUUCCUCUUGGCCCUUCUAAUCCCUGUUCUAGUUAUCACUCUCUCUGAACCUAUUACAAUCCUCAAACUUCUUAUUUUUUUCCUUAAAUUAGGCCAGAAUUCCUCACAGCUGUUUGUCCUCCAAAUUCCCUGGAUCUGUUCACAUUCCUCAGGAACUAGGUUCUUUGUCAUUCUCUUCAUCUUAAUCACAGUUCCUCUUUUCAGGAACACAGGUGUAUACACCUGCCUUUCUCAGACCCCAGCUCUUUUGCAUAGUGUGUGUGUAUGUUUUUUUUUUCCUCUCUAGCAUCUUCUCUACCCCUAUUUAUUCAUCUGCUCUGUUCAUCAAAUUAUGAUGCAUUUAUGCAGUUUUCUAACCCUUCUCUGAUUAUUGUAUUUGUUAUAUUCCUUUAAAAACAAGUGCUUGGCAAAAGUAAAGUCAUUUGUGGGUCUGCUAUUACUAACUCCAAUUGCUUUCCCCUCAAUCAGUGAGAACCACCAUCAUCUGAGUCCACCUUCUGGGUCUGCCUUCUGGAAGUCACUCCAGGCCAUAUGCUGUGGUUCUCAUCGAGCUCACCUCACGGAUUUCCUCUUUCAGAACCUACAGUUCUGCACUGAUGACUAUCCAAAAGAUGAAAAGUUAUUUUACUGUAUUUUGUCCACAUUUGUAUCUGUUUAUAGUAAGUGUGAAGUUAUUGCAGUCUGUCUUUAUGGAAAUCAUGGUUUUAUUUCUGUUAGCUUUGUUUGCUUGGUUAAUGUCUCUUCCUGGCUCAAACACAAGAACUUCUAAUUAUUUUAUGGAAAAGUAUAGGACAUAAUAAUAUAAAAUAAUCCUUAGAAUUUAAAUAAACUCAUCUUGAGUGAAUAAAUUAGUGAAAGAAGGAGCUCAAAUAGAAGAUCAAACAAUUUUUAGUAAUUACAUUUUUUGAGAUAGGAGUCUCACUAUGUUGUCUAGACUGGUCUCAAAACUUGUGGACUCAGGUGAUCCUUCUGCCUCAGCCUCCUGAGUAGCUGUAAUUACAGGCACAUGCUACUAGCCCCAACUCAAACAAAUGCCGAAUGACAUAGAUAUAUCAAUUAAAAUAAAGCCUGAAAUGUCAAUAGGACAUAAGCCAUUUUGAUGGAGUGUCAUGGAUGAAAGUCUAAGGCACUAGCACAAGAAAACAAAGACAUAGAAAGUAAACAUGUUACAAACUGAAAAGCUUGGGCAAAUCAGAUUUAUAUAAUAAAGAGUUAUGUAGUCAGCAAUGAUGAUGUGAAAGAAAAGUGGUUUGCAUAUGAUAGUUUGCUCUCUCACAUUCAAUAAUAAAAAUCUACUACCACCAGGCUUUCCAUGGUAUAACUUGGCAUCAGGGAUGACCUGCCUAGAUUAGUUUUUCUUUUUGCUUGAUAAUUCUAUACACUCUAUAAGUUUGUUCAAAACUAUAUUUCUAUAGAAAUUAUUAGUAUACAUUCUUAUUUAUAUAAUUAUUCAACUCAUAAAAUAUUUUUGGGUUCACAGAAAAUGAUUUUCUAGAGAUAGAAGAGUUUAGAACCUGUUUACACUUGAUGCAGAGGGAGCCAGGAGACAUUGCAAUGUGGGAAUCACAUGGGAUUGGGUAGUCGGUGAAGGUCAAAGUCUCUGGGAAGAUAGGAGAGGAUUGACAGCUCUGCUUGAUGCAUCACCCAUAAAUACAGGGAAUUAUUUCCUUUUGAUGCUUCUGAGAAAAUAAAUAACUGUACUUAAUCAAACAGCACUCAAUAUUUUUUUUGUGUGUGUGAGAUUUAAAGUUAUGGUUACUCCAGUAAGUCUCAUUUUCACUGUGAAUUAG
rnacentral:lncRNA from 1 species